rnacentral:rRNA from 1 species
CCUACGGGAGGCAGCAGUGGGGAAUAUUGCACAAUGGGCGAAAGCCUGAUGCAGCAACGCCGCGUGCGGGAUGACGGCCUUCGGGUUGUAAACCGCUUUCACCAGGGGCGAAUUUGGACGGUACCUGGUUAAGAAGCACCGGCUAACUACGUGCCAGCAGCCGCGGUAAU